AAGGAGGAGUUCUCUUGUAGUGAAGAUGGGAAGGAAGAAAGGGAAGGAAGCGCCCACGGUGUUAAUGUUUACUUGUACUAGCACUAGUAUAUUACUCUCUUAGUAGUAGUCGUUUCUCUGAGCUUUCUCCCAAACACCUCAGCACGUGAAAUACUUUGCCGACCUAUGUAUGGUUGUCGACCCAAUCCACCCCGCUACAGAUCACCACCACCAUCUCUGCCUCCUCCUCCGCACAAUCCUUUAGUUCCUCCUCCUCCUCCGGACCAUCCUUUACCUCCUCCCCCUCCCAAGUGCAGCUCAACAGGGGCACCUCCACUGGCACCGCCGCCCCCAGUUCCACCGCCACCCCCUCCUCCUUCCCCACCCUGCCCGACUACGCCACCGCCACCAUAUAAGAAAGUUCCUACACCCCCUCCUCCCUGCAGCAGGAGAUGCUUUCGUGAGGACGAAUGCCGGAGAUGCCGUCCUCGCGAUCCACCAUAUUGACAGCAAAAACAAGGUGUUGAAGUCAUUAUCCGACUACUAAUGAUCAUUUUAUAAUGUGGAGGAUAAGGUCAGCUCCUGAUCACUUUCAUCAAGAUAUAUAAUGCGUAUAAAGAGAAUAAAUGAAUGAAGAAUGCCAAAGAUUGAGGAAAGAAUAUCCUCGAUCAUGUCUUAUUUUGCGUCUGUUUGGAAUGGAAGAAAGUUUAUUGCAAGAUUGUAUUGAUUUACGUGUCAAUUCAAGUGUGAGAUUGAAAAUAUUUCUUGUUUAUUAGUUUCUUGAUAAAUUUUGUAGAGAUGAUCUAAAUUUCUUUUGGGCUCCA